rnacentral:rRNA from 1 species
GACGAACUGUGCAAACGUUAUUCGGAAUCACUGGGCUUGAAGAGUGCGUAGGCGGUUUCGUAAGUAGGGUGUGAAAGCCCCCAGCUCAACUGGGGAACUGCGUCCUAAACUGCGAGGCUGGAGUGAGGUAGGGGUGUGUGGAACUUCCGGUGGAGCGGUGAAAUGUGUUGAUAUCGGAAGGAACACCUGUGGCGAAAGCGGCUCACUGGACCAUAACUGACGCUGAUGCACGAAAGCUAGGGGAGCAAACAGG